rnacentral:rRNA from 1 species
GACGAACGCUGGCGGCGUGCUUAACACAUGCAAGUCGAGCGGAGCGGCGAACGGGUGAGUAACGCGGGAGUAACUGCCCCCCUCCCUGGGAUAACAGUUGGAAACGGCUGCUAAUACCGGAUAGUGGGGGAUGACUCGCGUCCUAUCGGCUUGUUGGUUGGGUAGUGGCCUACCAAGGCGACGACGGGUAGCCGGCCUGGGAGGGCGACCGGCCCCCUUGGGCUGCGAUACGGCCCAAAGGCCUACGGGGGGCAGCAGUGGGGAAUAUUGCACAAUGGGGGAAACCCUGAUGCAUCAGCGCCGCGUGCGGGAUGGCGGCCUACGGGUUGUAAACCGCUUUCAGCCAUGACGCGGUAGUGGCAGAAGAAGCACCGGCUAACUACGUGCCAGCCGCCGCGGUAAUAC